CAGUAGCCACGGGAAGACGAACCGUGCGAACGUUAUUCGGAAUCACUGGGCUUAAAGCGCGUGUAGGCGGGCCGCCACGUCGGCUGCUGAAAUCCCCCGGCUCAACCGGGGAACGGGCACCGAUACGAGCGGCCUCGAGGGGGGUAGGGGGGUCUGGAACUUCCGGUGGAGCGGUGAAAUGCGUUGAGAUCGGAAGGAACGCCCGUGGCGAAAGCGAGGCCCUGGACCCUUUCUGACGCUGAGACGCGAAAGCCAGGGGAGCGAACGGGAUUAGAGACCCGCGUAGUCCCUGUCUCUUAUU
rnacentral:rRNA from 1 species